GACGAACGCUGGCGGCGUGCCUAAUACAUGCAAGUCGAGCGAAGUUUUUCUGGUGCUUGCACUAGAAAAACUUAGCGGCGAACGGGUGAGUAACACGUAAAGAACCUGCCUCAUAGACUGGGACAACUAUUGGAAACGAUAGCUAAUACCGGAUAACAGUAUUUCUCGCAUGAGAGAUAUUUAAAAGUUGGUUAUGCUAACACUAUGAGAUGGCUUUGCGGUGCAUUAGCUAGUUGGUGGGGUAAAGGCCCACCAAGGCGACGAUGCAUAGCCGACCUGAGAGGGUGAUCGCCCACCCUGGGACUGAGACACGGCCCAGACUCCUACGGGAGGCAGCAGUAGGGAAUCUUCCGCAAUGGGCGAAAGCCUGACGGAGCAACGCCGCGUGAGUGAAGAAGGAUUUCGGUUCGUAAAGCUCUGUUGUUAGGGAAGAAUGGAUAUGUAGUAACUAUACAUGUAAGAGACGGUACCUAACCAGAAAGCCACGGCUAACUACGUG
rnacentral:rRNA from 1 species